GGGCCCGUAGCUCAGUUGGUAGAGCAGUUCCCUCUUAAGGAAUUGGUCGAGCGUUCGAAUCGCUCCGGGCUCAC
rnacentral:tRNA from 1 species